rnacentral:rRNA from 1 species
AUGGCUACUACUAGCUGCUGGUUCUUGGUGUUCGUAUUGGUAGUAUGGUGGUUGCCGCUGAUGCUCGCCGGGCCUGAGGACCAGCAAGUGGAAAACUGCCCGGCCAAGACGUGCGGCAACCUCAUCAUCUCCCACCCGUUCUGGAUCCUCAACAUGGAGACUACAAGAUCGUGUGGUUCAUUGGAUUUUGAGGUCGUUUGCCUCAACGACAGUAUUCCACUCCUCCGGAGCUCUGUGCUCUUCGGCUUUGCAAUCAGGGACAUCUCCUACGAGGAACACAGUUUGCAUGCCGUUGAUCUACACAAAGAAACAUACUUCAAAAAAGAAGAGGAAGACUUCAACGUCUCCAAAAGUUGCCAUUUCCCGAGAUGGAACACCUCCGUCAAACUAGCACCCCCGUUUAAGGUCACCCCCGCCAACGUCAACCUCAUCUUCUACAACUGCACGAAGACAGUGGCGCUGGUGGAGGUGAGAUGCCCGAACGCGAGCAACAUGUUUGUUCGUGCGGGAGUGCCCCACGACGCGACCGGUAACUAUGCCGGCUACGCGCUAGAGGGCUGCAAUGCUACCGUCGUGCCGGUGAUGGGCUCGUCGUCGGGCUCGGCGAACGCAAGCGACUACGAGCAGCUCAUCGAAGAUGAUUUCCUCCUGACAUGGGAUCUACCCUCUCCAGUACAUAUACUAUCAUUCUUCAACCACGGCAUCCUCUCAUACACAUAUCUCCACCGCCCCACGGCCAAAUCUUCAGUUCUGAUGGCUACCUCAAGCUGUUGGCUCUUGGUGUUCGUCUGGGUAAUAUGGCGGUUGCCAUUGAUGCUCGCCGAGCCUGAGGUGCGGCAAGGGAAAGGCUGCUCGGCCAAGAGGUGCGGCCACCUCAAUAUCUCACACCCGUUCUGGCUCCCCGACAUGGAGGCGGGAAGAUCGUGUGGCCCCUUGGAUUUUGUGGUCAAUUGCAACAACAGUGUUCCAGUUCUAAAGAGCUCUGGAUUAACUGGCUUUGCAAUUCUCAACAUCUCCUACGAGAAACGAAAUCUGCGUGUCAUCGAUGUCUACAAAGAGGAAGACUUUAAAGACUCCAAGAGCUGCCAUUUUCCCGGAUGGAACACCUCCGGCAAACUGGCACUCCCGUUUAAGGUCAGCCCCGCCAAUCUGAAUCUCAUCUUCUACAACUGCACAAAGCCGCCGACGGAUGAGGGCAGGGCGUUGGGGGAGAUGAGAUGCGGGAACGCGAGCAACACGUUUGUUCGCGCGGGAGUGCGUUUUGAUGUGACGGGGAACUACGGCGGCUAUGUCUUAGAGGGCUGCAAUGCGACGGUCGUGCCAGUGAUGGACUCGUCGGGCAAGGCCAAGGCGAGCGACUACGAGCGGCUCAUCAGCGGUGGCUACAUCAUGACAUGGGAUCAUCCGGAACCUCUUCCUGCACCUCUACCUGUCCCUACGCCUUCACCUGCACGUAAGUUCACCCGCCGACUCAUCUUUUAA